GCUGGGUGUGGUGGCUCACGCCUAUAAUCCCAGCACUUUGGGAGGCUGAGGCAGGUGGAUCACUUGAGGCCAGGAGUUUGAGACCAGCCUGGCCAACAGGGUGAGACCCUGCCUCUG
rnacentral:SRP_RNA from 1 species